rnacentral:lncRNA from 1 species
GCUAAGUAUUUCAACCUAUCUUUAUACUUAUAUUAUAUUAGAAUAUUAAAAUACAUAAACUAUGAAAAACCAAAUAAAGAUUUUGUGCUUAUAUAUAUCUUUUGCUUAGUGUGUUUAAUAAAUAAAUAAAGUGGCUAUGCUAAUCUGAAUCUUAAUAAUAAAACUCUAGCAUGGAUAUCAUGAAUAGUUGCUCUGCCUAAUUUGCAAAUUUGAAGUUCUCUCUCAAGUUUAGACAUAACUGUUAUAAUUUAAAGCUUGCUCUAGAUCUAAACUUGUGGGAUAAAAACUUGAACUGAAAUCUAAGUUGUUAACGGAUAUGGUAUGGGAAGGUUGAGCUGCUGUUUAUCUGUUCCUAGAGAUGCUUGAAUUCUGGAGAAUUUUAUCUUUGAAAAAUCUUUAAAAUAUUGCAUGAUGAGUUCCUGUAUGAUGAAAGUUUAAAUUCCUACCACAGCCAUAUAUACAUGCUUGCUAGACUUUGAGCCACACAUUUACUAUUUACUGCUUAUGAGCAUUGAGUGUAGUCAAGCUGUGUAGACCCUUAGGAGCUUGUCAUGUGGUUAAAUCAAGAUUUCACUUGCACAUUCACUCAUAUAUGCUACUUCUACUCCGGAAGUACCAUCCACAUAUAUCCACUCAUUUCCAUCUCCAGAACCACCCAAAAAUAUUCUACUCCUAAUCCGGGAGAGAAUAACCAAAAAUAUUUUUGUUUUUCCUUGUGAAAUAAAUGCUCAAGUUAUCUUGUUACUACCACUUUCUAUAUUAUCUCAUGAGAUGAGUGCUCUAAAAAAAGGAGAGAAAAAAUAUACGAGGAAAUAAAAAGGGGCAAGUGCCCGGAAUCUCGAAAGAAAAGAAAAAGAGUGAGACGAGAGGUAAAAAUGGACAAGUGUCCGACAGUAGAAUUAGGGGUACAGGAUACCCACCUGAGUGGAAAGAAAAAAAAUGAAAGAUAGAGCAUCUCAUUCUCCUCAUAAAGUUUCAAAAAGCAAGGAAGGUAUGUAUCCCCUCAAAAGAGCAAAAGUAGAAUUAGACUUCCACCAUUGUUAUCACCAUCAUCACCAUACACCAUUCAUUCGCCACACAUGCACAUCUUGAUUUGACUUAUUGACUUGUUUCUCUGGAUCCAUGGUUUGACUAUGCAAUAAAUGUCUUGUAAGUAUGUAUUAGCUGUCUCCCACCUAUGAGCUCCAGAUAUUAAAGCCUUAUUAGAGUAGGGUGAGAGAGAAGGCAAUGUCACUAUGCCUUAUACCACAAAUACCACAUAUCUUGAGAGAAGGCAUAUACCAUCACUACCUUGGUAAGGAUCCAGAAAUACCAGAAAAGAGAGAUUUAGAGAGUCAUACAAGGAAUCUCUGAGUUUUAUUUGAAAAUCUGCAAAAACUCUAGAGCUAUAGGUGAUCAAGAAUAAGAGACAUGGCACUUGGCUAGACUGUUCUAUCUUUUAACUACUCAAGACAGAAGUGACGGUUACAAGUCCCAUGGUGAAAGGUAAAGUAAGUAAGUUUUAGUUCUUGACAGUUUACUCUAACUCAAAGAUGAGAUCUUAGUUAAAAGCAUGUGUACCGUCAAAUUUUUAAGAUAUUGCAACAACUUCUGAUCCAUUGCUGAGUCUAUCCUUGCUCAGGGACGAGCAAGAGGUAAGCUUGGGGGAGUUUGUUGACGGUCCUUAAUUAUCAAAUAAACAAAGAAAAGGAUCCAAAUGAAAUCAACAUCUAGACUUAGGGUUUUAUCUCACAGAAUUCCACGAGGUUUGGUGUUUGUCUAUUUCUGCAGGGGGUUAUCAUGAAAUACGGAAGAAAGGCCCACAUGUCGGGAUUACAUAGAGAUAUUAAUGUGCCGCGCAAUUAGCUUACAUCUAGAAGACUCUAGAAGCCACGGGAAGGAAGCGGACGCUGAACGGGGCCAGAGGCAGGGCGCCCGCCCUCCUGCCCUGGGCGCCCGCCCUGACUUGGAGCCCAAUCAGGACUCUUUCUCUCGGGAGAUCUCCACCGACCUAAAGGAUCAAGAAUAACCGUUCAAUCAAUGUCGGUUUGAUCCGACGGCCCAGGUUCACUUGAGUGGACAAUAUAACCAGACCCCCUAGCCCCUAGAGGCACCCCUUGAUCAUUAUUCAUUAUUCAUAGACAGAGCAAAAGCUAGGGUUUAGAGAUGAGAGCUCUCCUCUCUUCUCUAAACUAGAGUAGAUCUAGAUAGUAGCAAGAUGGAGAGCGAAGGAGGAUUAGAGGAGAGGCCGGCCUGUCGGUUCUUCCUCUGGUUGUACUUUGUCAUGAUCAAGCUCUAAUCAAGCUUGCUGAUGGGAUGACUCUGGUAAUCUACUUCUAAUUCAUUAUGCAGUUACUAAUUAUGUAUUUUCUGGUUCACAACUCUUUUGAGUACUUUAAUCUAUAGGACGCUAUAGGUGAGAGUUGUAGUAUAGGUGUAAGCGUGGUGCUUAGACCUAGAUUACUUGUGGAUAUCCCCUGUCUAGCUGGAUCGUGUGGUAGGCCGCGUAGGUGACAGUUACGUUGGUCCUCUGUAGUCCACCUCUCGUUAACAGGACAGGUAGGGUUUAUCGGCCUAAGGAUAAGCAUCCUUUGUGGUGUACUCUUAUCACGUGGUUCGUCCCAGACAUAGACAUACCCCUUUGAAGUAGAGAAACCAUAGUUAUCCUCUCUAUUCUGCUACCAUCGCCCAUAUAAUAGAAUUGCUCUAUUCUCUAUUCCCAUAUUAUCACUCAUUGUUAUCUUACCUUUAAUAUUGUUCUUAUUCGAUUCUACCAUCUUUCCUAUUUACACCUAUUUACUUAUCUUGGUUAAGUUAGAGCGUAGAUCAGUUGUCCCGUUUCCCUGUGGAUACGAUAAAACCUUUAACCGGGUAAAAGCUAUAACGGUAUCCGUGCACUUGCGAAUUAUCUGUGUGCGUAUAAAUACCAUAGUACACUCUAGUGCCAUUCUGGGGAUGACAACCUAGUAUUCAAGUGGUGUUAGCAAGUGUCAACACUAAGCAGGUCAGAAAACGACGCAACCGCAACCAGAGGAGGCGAAUCAUCAAGGACGGAUGGGCAGACUAUGAAGGAGAAGUUGUAAGGUCAGAAGACGUAGAGUUUAAACAGAAUUAUCCAGAGGAGACCGAAGCACUGAGUCAGGUAUGGAAAAAAAAGAUAACUAUACAUGAAGAGGAGGCGCUGCCGGAAGUACCGACUACGCCACCCAACGAAUUCCAGGACAAUUGAGAAAAUGGAGAGUCCCGUUCGUAGUACUUAAAACACCGAACGCCUUGCCAAGGGGUAAACUUGGUAGUUAUCCUUUCCCUUUCAAUUAUUUUAAAAUAGUCUACAUAGUUAAUCAUAUUUAUGCUAUCCUAAAAAGAAAAUAAAAAUGUGAAAAACGGUGAGCCCCAUGUGAGUAUACGAGUGGCAUAAAACCCAUAAGUACAUUCACUGUGGUGGCAUAAAAAAUAAAAUAAAUAUUUCAUUCAUGCUUUAUAAAAUAAAAAUAUAAAAACAGGGAGUAAUAAUUAUUAAGGAGUCUCAACAUGAUAAAGGCUAGAUAUUUAUGCUAACACUUAAUCAGUUCCACAAGCUUUGUUGUCUAUUUGAGCUCCACAGAAUUUAAGAAUCAAGAAGACUAGCAGAUGGAGGACAUUCUAAUCGCUGUCAGAAUGUUGUUGACUUUCAAAUACACCUCUGCCACCUGCUAGCUACAUCAAAAGAAAUUACGUCAAAAUUCAGCUUGGGGGAGAGCACCCCCAUUUAUCCCGCUAAGUAUUUCUAUCUAUCUAUCUUUAUACUUAUACUAAUUUAGAAUAUAAAUAUACAUAAACCAAGAAAAACCAAAUAAAGAUCUUAUGCUUAUAUAUAUAUAUAUAUCUUUUGCUUAGUGUGUUUAAUAAAUAAAUAAAGUAGCUAUGCUAAUCUGUAUCUUAAUAAUAAAACUCUAGCAUGGAUAUGAUGAAUAGUUGCUCUGCGAAAUUUGCACAUUUUAAGUUCUCUCUCAAGUUUAGAUAUAACUGUUAUAAUUCAAAGCUUGCUCUAGACCUAAACUUGUGGGAUGAAAACUUGAUCUAAAGUCUAAGUUGUUAACGGAUACGAUAUGGGAAGGUUGAGCUGCUAUUUAUCUGUUCCUAGAGAUGCUAGAAUUCUGGAGAAUUUUAUCUUUGAAAAUCUUUAAAAUGUUGCAUGAUGAAUUCUUGUAUGAUGAGAGUUUUAAAUUCCUACCACAACCAUAUAUACAUGCUUGCUAGACUUUGAGCCACAUAUUUACUAUUUACUGCUUAUGAGCAUUGAGUGUGGUCAAGUUGUGUAGACCCUUAGGAGCUUGUCAUGUGGUUAAUCAAGAUUCACUUGCACGGUCACUCAUAUGUGCUACUUCUACUCCGGAAGUACCAUCCACAUAUAUCCACCCAUUCCAUCUCCAGAACCACCCAAAAAAAUAUUCUACUCCUAAUCCGGGAGAGAAUAGCCAAAAACAUUUCUGUUUUUCCUUGUGAAAUAAAUGCUCAAGAUAUCUUGUUACUACCACUUGCUAUAUUAUCUCAAGACAUGAGUGCUCUAAAAAAAAGAGAAAAAGAGAUACGAGGAAAUAAAAAGGGGCAAGUGCCCGGAACCUUGAAAAAAAAGAAAAAGAGAGACCUGAGAGAAAAGAAAAAAUAUAGAGCAUCUCAUUCUCGUCAUAAAGUUUCAAAAAGCAAGGAAGGUAUGUAUCCCCUCAAAAGAGCAAAAGUAGAAUUAGGCUUUCACCAUUAUUAUCACCAUCAUCACCAUAUGCCAUUCAUUCGCCACACAUGCACAUCUUGAUUUGACUUAUUGAUUUGUUUCUUUGGAUCCAUGGUUUAACUAUACAAUAAAUGUCUUGUGAGUAUGUAUAUUUUAUCUCCCACCUAUGAGCUCCAGAUAUUAAAUCCUUAUUAGAGUAGGGUGAGAGAGAAGGCAAUGUCACUAUGUCUUAUACCACAAAUACUACAUAUAUGGAGAGAAGGCAUAUACCAUCACUGUCGUGGUAAGGAUCCAGAAAUACCACAAAAGAGAGAUCUGAGAGAAUCAUACAAGGAAUCUCUGAGUUUUAUUUGAAAAUCAGCAAAAACUCCAGAGCUAUAGCUGAUCAAGAAUAAGAGACAUGGCACUUGACUAGACUGUUCUAUCUUUUAACUACUCAAGACAGAAGUAACAGUUACAAGUCCCAGGGUGAAAGGUAAAGUAAGUAAGUUUUUAAGUCUUGACAGUUUACUGUAACUCAGAGAUGAGAUCUUAUUUAAAAACCAUAUGUACCGUCAAUUUUUAAAGGCAUUACAACAACUUCUAAUCCAUCGCUGAGUCUAUCCUUGCUCAGGGACGAGCAAGAGGUAAGCUUGGGGGAGUUUGUUGGUGGUCCUUAAGUAUCAAAUUUAAUUAUCAAAUAAACAAAGAAAAGGAUCCAAAUGAAAUCAACAUCUAGACUUAGGGUUUUAUCUGACAGAAUUCCACGAGUUUUGGUGUUUGUCUAUUUUUGUAGGGGGUUAUCAGGAAAUACGGAAGAAAGGCCCACACGUCGAGAUUACAUAGAGAUAUUAAUGUGCCGCGCAAUUAUCUUGCAUCUAGAAGACUCCAGAAUCCAUGGGAAGAAAGCGGAGGCCGAACGGGGCCAGAGGCAGGGCGCCCGCCCUCCUUCCCUGGGCGCCCGCCCUGACUUCGAGUACAAUCAGGACUCUGUUUCGUGGGAGAUCUCCACCGACCUAAACGAUCAAGGAUAACCGUUCAAUCAAUGUCGGUUUGAUCCAACGGCCCAUAUUCACUUGAAGGGACUAUAAAACCAGACCCCCUGGCCCCUGGAGGAGAGAGCCUCUCAACCCUAAUUCAUUAUUUUCAAGGGAGAAGAAGCCUCU